rnacentral:rRNA from 1 species
GAUGAACGCUAGCGGCAGGCCUAAUACAUGCAAGUCGGACGGGAUCCAUCGGAGAGCUUGCUCGAAGAUGGUGAGAGUGGCGCACGGGUGCGUAACGCGUGAGCAACCUACCUCUAUCAGGGGGAUAGCCUCUCGAAAGAGAGAUUAACACCGCAUAAUAUAAUCUUCCGGCAUCGUUAGAUUAUUAAAUAUUUAUAGGAUAGAGAUGGGCUCGCGUGACAUUAGCUAGUUGGUAAGGUAACGGCUUACCAAGGCGACGAUGUCUAGGGGCUCUGAGAGGGGAAUCCCCCACACUGGUACUGAGACACGGACCAGACUCCUACGGGAGGCAGCAGUAAGGAAUAUUGGUCAAUGGGCGGAAGCCUGAACCAGCCAUGCCGCGUGCAGGACGACUGCCCUAUGGGUUGUAAACUGCUUUUGUCCAGGAAUAAACCUAAAUACGUGUAUUUAGCUGAAUGUACUGGAAGAAUAAGGAUCGGCUAACUCCGUGCCAGCCGCCGCGGUAAUAC